GGGCAUAAGUUUCAGGGGACAGUUAAAGUAAAAUAUACAUUUAUUUUGUUGAUCCCCAAUUAUGUUGUUCAUCGUACAGAUUGUUCUUAACAGUAAGUUGAGAAUCAAAUUACUAUUUCUACUCAUGGAAAUUAUAAAUUAUAUUAACCCAAGAUAUUCAAGGCUGCUUCACCAAAACUGCCUCUAGAUGGCCAUGGGGUAAGAUUAGACGAGCCAGUAGGGAAGAAAAGCCAGCUUGUUUUAAUCAAGAUGUGCGUGCCAAGUGAACACACUGUUAUAAGUUACAACUGUAUUACCAAUACGUACUUGGGGGAAAAAAAAUCAUAUUAGUGUUUGUCUAAAACUUGUUUAAAUAAAUAUUUUAGUAUCAUUCUGAAAUUACUUUUAAUAUUUGUCCAGAAAAAAAAAAAUAGCCACAAAACACAAGAUGCCAGAAACGUUAUUUUGUUUUACAGUAAAAUAGAUGGUGCUUGAUGGAGAUAAGGCUAUGUAAAUUAUCUCUGUUGUAAGUUCCUAUCUCUAGUCAUUCACUCCAAUUAUCUAUAACUAUUACAUAUAGCAAAUCAGCAAUUGUAACUCAUCUCCAAUUAGAAAGACUAAAUUCCCAGUGCUUUCUGCUUUAAGAAUAGUAUUUUCUUUAAGCAUAUGCUUUGCAUCCAUUUCUAUCCAUCUAGCCAAAAAGUCUAGAGCCAAAAAACAGAUGUUAGAAUGAAGAAAAGCCCUUACUGAAACUAAACUGCCCAUGCUUUACUUUCUGAAAGAGGUAAUGAAUAGCAAAACAAAAAAAUCACUACAUCGCUUCUUUUGUCAAGGGAAAGUCACAAUUACCUGGCAUAGUUUGAGCAAACUGAAGUUUUCCUCAACUUCCAGUGGCCAGAACCAGAAGCAAAAUCUUGUCAGAAUAGAGGAGAGCGUGUUAUGUUUGCUACAUCCAGGGCCCAUACAACUGGUACUUGGAAGAGAGUAAAAUCUCCAGAGGUUAAUGUCUAAAAUCAUAUCAUCUUACUGCAGGGUACUCUGGUUUUACAUGUAGUAUAAAGAAGCUGAGCAAAGAACUAUGGUACAACAAGCCCUUCACUCUUACAAAGAAAAACUACUAAAACCAUUUAUUAUUAAAAACCUCAACAGGAACAUCAGCAAUGAUCAGGCAGAUUCAUUUUCAGGAAAAACGAUGACUAGCUAUGCUCAUUGUAUUAGGGCAUAGAAAGGUGAUUAAAGGUGAUAAAAUGGAUUUCCCACAGAUGCCAACAGCACGUACAAAAUCAUCUGAAUAAUUAGAACUGUGUAAAUGUCAGAGAGCCCAUUGAACAUUGACUCAUUAGAGCAGAAAGGUUGCUUCAGGUGAGUUGAGGCCACUUAGGUUUCUGCUCUUCUCAAGCAUCUGAGCAAUCAAUCCUCUUUCCAAAGGUGCUCUUGGAUAUCAAGUCUUAUGGACACAUGCUCAGUGAUUGCACUAACACUCAGAUUAUCAAGGAAUACAUCUCAGCAUCCUCAGGGAUGAGGUCUUGUCUCACAGGCAGGACCAAAACCCUCAAGCACUUCAAGAAGAGACAAAGAAUAAAAUUCUGUGCUUCUUCACAGAGAAGAAAAGCGUGGGCAGUGACAGGACAGGCUCCAUUUUAAAUCUCUCCAAUUCAUAGGCUGCCUCAGGUCUUCAUGGUUAAGAAAGCUGCCACGAUUCCUCUUCACUAGUUAUAGGCCAUAAAAUUCUACGUGAUUUCCAUAUCUCACUUAUACGUACAAUAUGCUUUCCUGAUAGCUGGAAUUUUAAGGAAAGAAGGGUACCAAAGGAGGAAGCUGGAAGGCAGAAAGAACUAAUGACAGGUAUACCAUAAACCACAGCAUGCAGAAAUACAGUUUUGCACCGACAAUUCAUAAUGUAUACAAGAAAACUAACUCAGGGCUGUUCUCACAGCCCUGGGCAGCCCGUUCCAUGCCCACCGCCCUGUGGUGCAGCCCCUGUCCCUAACCCCCAGCUGCCCCUCCCCUGACACAGCUCCAUGCCGUUCCCUCGGGCCCUGUCGCUGUCACACAGAGCAGAGCUCAGCGCUGCCCCUCCGCUCCCUGUGAGGAGCUGCAGCCGCCAUCAGGCCUCCCCUCAGCUCCUCUGCUCUGCACUGCGCACACCGAUAGGCCUCAGCUGCUCCUCACACACCUUGCCCUCAGGGCCUUCCCCAACUUUGCAGCCCGCCCUUGGAUUUCAUGUUAUUUAUUUUCCUCACAGGAGUUCACUAACAGAUUUCCAAACACUUUAAAAUCAUUUUUGUUAAUUAACUUGAAGUUAUCAAAUUCAUCUCAUGCUUGCAACUCACCUUCCAAAACUCACAGUGACGAGAUCCCGAAUGUAAGUUUUUAUCGUUACUGUCUCAUGUCGUGCUUUGCUCCAAUUCCCUGCACUUCCUGCAGCAUACAAAAAGCAACUACCUUCCCUUGGUUAACUUUAUAAACCUUAAAGUAGUUCAUGGUUUCCAGGUAUCCACAGAUUGAAAAUCUUCUAUUUUAAACACGUAAGCAUUACUGAGAAGCCUCCCUUGCUCCUUACCUUCCUUUAGCUGACAAAAAGACAAUCGGAAAAAAGGGUAAAGGGUUAAAAUUACAUCAGAACAUUCCUGCCCUUUUCUCUUUAUUCUUUGCUGCCCAUUCUGUCUGAAAGACAAAAAAACUUGAUAAGUCUCAGGAAUUAAGGUGGAAACAGAGCCUCACAGAAUCGUUCUCCCCUAAACUUAACCACUGAUGUUUUUUUUCAAUGUAUCAUCACUCUCCUUUUAAAGGCUUUGCCACUUUUCUUGCUGCAUCGCAUGUUAAAUAUUUUCCCUUUGUCCUAAGUUCUUGUGUGGCUUACUACACUCCCAAUAUUGCAUUCAAGCACUUGCUUUGAAACUAUAACUAAUACCAUUUAAGGUCUAUAUCAUGUUUAUACUGACCCUUUGAUUCCUUAAAAAAGUCAUAACAACAACAUAGAAGCAAAAAAUGUGUUGUGGCUGUUCAUCGUUGCUAGGUUUUGAAGUUUUUAGUAAAACAUACCUAGAAUUCUUGGGUUAAUGUCUUUGCAUUGACAUUCUCCUAACAGAUUUUACAAAUUGGAGAACAUGACAUUAGUUGUAUUAUAAAUAUUGUAUGCCCCUCAUAGAAUCACAGAAUUGUAGGGGUUGAAAGGGAUCUUUGGAGAUCAUCAAGUCCAACCCCCUGCGAAAGCAGGUUCACUAGAGCAGGUCACACAGGAAAGCAUCCAGAAGGGUCUUAAAUUCCUCCAGAGAAGUAGACUCCACAACCUCUCUGGUCAACAUGUUCCAGUGCUCUGUAGUCCUCACAUUAAGGAAGUUUUUCCUCAUGUUCUAGUUAGUGCUCAUUGCCCUUUGUUCAAUCAUUGGGUAAUACUGAAAAGAGCCUGACUCCAUCCACUUGAUUCCCACACUUCAGAUAGUCAUAGAUGUUAACGAGAUCCCCUCUCAGCCUUCUCAUCUCACAACUGAACAUUCUCAGAUCUCAGCCUUUUCUUGUGUGGGAGGUGCUCCAGGCCCCUCAUCAUCUCUGUCACCCUCAACUGAACCCUCUACAAUAGGUUCCUCUCUUUCCUGAAGAAUCCGGAACUGAACACAGUAUUCCAGAAGUGGCCUCACCAGGGCAGGGCAGAGGGGGAGGAUCACCUCCCUCAAACUGCUGGCCAUGCUCUUUUUAAUGUAUCCCAGGACCCCACAGGCCACCUUGGCCACAAGGGCACACUGCUUGUUCAUGGCCAACCUGUUGCCCACCAGAACACCCAGGUCCUUCUCCCCGGAGCUCCUCUCCAGCAGGUCAGCCCCUAAUCUGUACUAAUGCAUGCAGUUAUUCCUCCCCAGCUGUAGGACUUCGACGCUUGCUCUUGUUGAACCUCAUCAAAUUCCUCUCCACUCAUCUCCCCACGUUGUCCAGGUCCUACUGAAUGCAGUACAGCUUUCUGGUGUGUCACUUACUUCAUAUCAUCAGCAAACUUGCCGAGGAUGGACUCUAUCCCAUCAUUCAGGUCACUGAUGAAAAUGCUGAACAAGACCAGACCCAGCACCAACAUCUGGGGAACACCGCUAGUUACAGGCCUUCAACUGGACUCUGCUAGUCAGCCAGUUCUCAAUCCAGUUCACUGUCCACUCAUUUAUCCAACACUUCCUAAACUUACCUACAAGGAUGUUCUAGGAGACAGUAUUAAACACCUUACUUUAGUCAAGAUGCACAACAUUCUCUUCUUUCCCCCCCACCUACCUAGCCUGCAAUGACAUUGUAGUAAGCUACCAGAUUUGUUGAGCAUAACUUUUCAUUUGGCAGAGCCACAUUGACUACUCCUGACAACCUUCUUCUCUUCCAAUUGCUUGUAGAUGACAUCCAGAGUAAGAUGUUCCGUCCCAUUCCCAGAGAUAGAGGUGAAGCUGGCUGGCCUGUAGUUCCCCUGCUGCUCCUUGCUGUCCUUUUUGAAGACCAGUGACAUCAGCAUUCCUCCCAUCCUUAGGCAUCUCUCUCAUUCUCCAAGACCUUUCUAAGAUGAUAGAUUGGGCAAUCACUUCUUCCAGCUCUCUCAGCACUUGGGGAUACAUCCAACGAGGGCCCUCGGAUUUGUGUGAGUCCAAUUUGACUAGAAGGUCUCUAACUAGAUCUUCCUCAACCAAGGGGAGUCCCCAGACUCUCUCUUUUAUCUUCAGGGACUGGGAUUCCCAAGGGUCAGCCUUAGCAAUAAAGACUAAAGCAAAGAAUGUGUUUGGUAUCUCUGCCUAUUCAGAGUCAUCCAUUACCAAGGUACCCACUCCAUUCAGCAGCAGACCCAAAUUUUCCGUAGUCCUCCUUUUUGCUACUGAGAUACUUAAAGAACUCUUUCUUGUCCUUAACCUCACUCACCAGAUUUAAUUCCAAGUAGACCUUAGCUUUCCUUGUGGCAUCUCUGCAUGCCCUGACAAGAUCCCUAUAUUCCUCCCAAGUGAACAGAUGCCUUUUCCACAUUCCCUAGGCAUUCUUCUUCCAUUUGAGUUUUUUCCAUGAGCUCCUUGCUCAUCCAUGCAGAUCUCCUGUCACCUUUGCCUGAUUUCUUACUGUUAGGGAUGCUCAAAUACCACCACAAUGUGGUCCCUAUAAAAAGACAGUGAUCAGAUAGAUUAUGAUGAUAUUGAAUAUUGUAAUGAUAGGCAGUUAGUAUGAAACUAAUUUUUCAGUGUCUGACUGAAAAGAUGUAUUCUUUUCUUCUUCAACUAAUAACUUGCAUGCAUACUGCACUUUCAAAAACAUUUAAAAAAAAAAGCUGCUGGUAAGGCUUCAUGAAAUGAAUCCCCACCCCAAUGUAAAAUGGUUACAUGCCCUCAGAGUCCCAAGAAAUAAAUCUUCAGGGGGCACCUAAACUACGCAGGGCAGUUUCCAGCCAUCUGCACCGUUUUGCCUGUGACACAGACAUACAAAAGAGCAAAGUGCUCUUGUAGAGAAUACUUGGAAUUUUCCCUCCCUACACAGUGACCCAUACCCAGUAAUAGCUCCCAACUUGAGUUCAUAUGCCCUUGCUUUCCCUGCCAUUGUGCUAGGCUGCACUUACUCUCUUCUUUGCAUCCUCUGCCGGUCCAAAUGGAUCUUGAAUUCCUUGCAAUCAAUAAGGUAAUUUUAAAGCCUAGAGUUUGAAGUGCCUCUUGUUUCUUUUCUUUCACCUGUUUUGAAAUCAAAUGAAAGAUGUGGUACAGUAGCAUACCUCUUUGAACUCACUGUGGAAAGAGGAAGGUGGAAUUCCAUCUCUCUCAAAUCUCAGCUGAAUGUUCUAUUUGAAGAAGAAACAUUCACUUGUGAUAUCAGACCUUUACUCCCCAUGUUCCUCAGUCUCUAAAUCAGUAAGUAUAAACAUGUCCACUAUCUUGUACCACCUAACUACAAUUUGCAUUCUUCAGAAUCAACUCCUCAGUAUAGGCAACAGAUUGGAAGGGAUUUAACAGAAGAGAAAAAACAUAACAAUAGCUUUGAGAUAUCUAAGUAACAAAGAAGUAGUCUUCAUGAUUAGAGAAGGCACCUAGGAGACCUGACAGUGGCCUUUCAGUGUCUAAACAGGUGCUGUAAGAAAGAAGGGGACAGGGUCUUUAGCAGGGUCUGUUGUGAUAGGACAAGGGGGCAUGGUUUCAAAACAAAAGGGGGAGAUUCAGCUUGCAUAUACGGAAAAAGUCUUUUACAGUUAGGGUAGUGAGGCGGUGGAUGCCCCAUCCCUGAAGACACUCAAGGUCAGGCUGGAUGGGACUCUGAGCACCUGGUGUAGCUGUAGGUGUCCCUGUUCAUGACAGAGGAGUUGGACCAGAUGGCCUUUAAGGGUUCCUCCCAAUUCAAAUGAUUCUAUGAUUAUCAUCACUUUCUUCGUGCCUCAGCACUUAAUGCGUAUAUUUUAUUCCCUUCUCUGUGCACUGAAACAAACUCUUUGCUUGAAUGUUUAGCAAGAAGAGAUGCAAAAACAGGGAAAGAGGAAAGAAGAUUAAAAAAAUGAGGGAGGAAAAGAGAACAAAAUGGAAAGGAAAAAUGCAAAUGUGUAAAGAAAUUAUAGACAUUAAAAUAGCGUAAAGUGGCAAGAAACAGUGCAAGAAAUUAGUAAGAACAUGAAAGGCAUCAAAAGAAUGAAAAAAAAUGCAAGAUGUGAGCAGAUGUAAAAAGAACAUAAAAGGUGUGAAAAUAAAAUGACAAUGGAGUGAAAAAAGAUGAUACCAAAGAAAAAGUGAGGGAAAUGAAAGAGUUAAAUACUGAAGAGAAAGAAGGGAAUAGACCUGAAAGGUGUUUGAAGCAAAGAUAGAAAGGGGAAGGGAGAAACCUGAAAAGCAUUGAAAUUGGGAUCUGAAAGCAAAGCAAACACCUGAAAAGCAUUGAAAAUAAAGGGGGGGAGGGAGUGGAAAGACACAGGAAGCACUAAACAGGGGGAAAGAACGUAAAAAGCAUUAGAAAGAAGAGGAAAGCAGAGAAAAUCAGUGAAAGUAAAGGGAGAAAAGGAAGUGGAAGAGAGCAAGAAAAACAAAAGCAGAAAAGAUAGGCAGUGAAAACAGGUCAAAAACAGUAAAAAAUAACGAAGAGGAAAAAAACCACAACCUGAAAGGCUGAGGAAAUGGAAAACUCAAUGUGAGAAAGCUAAAGUGGGAAAGAGAAUGAAGAGCACCAAAAAGAAAAGAAGGAGGACCUGAAAAACUCAAGAGGAAGUCAAGGGAGGAAAAAGUGGAGAGAGGGAGGGAGUGGUGGGACAGGGAGAGGAGGCCUGAAAGCAUUUAAGACAAAUGGGACAGGCAGAGCAAAGCAAGUAGGCAGUGCACAGCAGGAAAGGAAAGUGGAAGAGGCAGUAAAGAUAGGAAAAGGAAAUAAUGGAGCCAAAAGAAACCCACCAAAAAAAACAGCAAUCCACAACCAGAAACACAGGAAAAGCAAGAGGAGCAGCAGGGGAAAGACAGAAAAAAGUGGGGGGAAAAGGAAAAUCAGGAGAAAAAUUAAAAGCUGAAAGAUGGGAAGAGGGAAAAACAAAAAAAAAGUGAGAAGGGCAGAAAUGGGAUGGGAAUAAGGGGAUGGGAGUAAAGAGAAGGAGAAAGAAGAGGAUCUCAGGUGGGGAAGAAAGAGAGGAAGCAAAGGCCAUACAGUGUUUCUGUUUCUCAAAAGGGAAAUUAAAUACAGUUUCUACUGAAAAUAAAAUGAGACGUUUUUUAAAGUGAUUUCAGUCAAAAUUAGUAUGCUUACUAAUCUGAAAUAACUCAGACCAAAAGUUCUAACAUUCCC
rnacentral:lncRNA from 1 species